rnacentral:tRNA from 1 species
UCGUGGCUGAGCGGCAGAGCGUUUCUCUGAAAGCUCUGAAAGAGUGCGGUCUCGGGGUUCGAUUCCCCUCUC